rnacentral:rRNA from 1 species
UACGAAGGGGGCUAGCGUUGCUCGGAAUUACUGGGCGUAAAGCGCACGUAGGCGGCUUUCUAAGUCGGGGGUGAAAUCCUGGAACUCAACUCCAGAACUGCCUUCGAUACUGGAGAGCUCGAGUCCGGGAGAGGUGAGUGGAACUGCGAGUGUAGAGGUGAAAUUCGUAGAUAUUCGCAAGAACACCAGUGGCGAAGGCGGCUCACUGGCCCGGUACUGACGCUGAGGUGCGAAAGCGUGGGGAGCAAACAGG